GGAGUCUAAGAUAUGCGCGAGUAUUUGGGUGUUGAAAACCCGAAUGCAUAAUGAAAGUAAAACAGGUGGGAACUCUUUAAUUGGGGGGCACCAUCGGCCGAUCAUGAACUACGGUGAAAGAUUUGAGUUGUAGCGUAUAUCUUGGGACCCGAAAGAUGGUGAUCUAUGCUUGUGUAGGAUAAAGUCAGGGGAAACCCUGAUGGAAGUCCGCAAACGGUUCUGACGUGCAAAUCGAUCGUGAAACAUGGGUAUAGGGGCGAAAGACUCAUCGAACCAUCGAGUAGCUGGUUCCCUCCGAAAUUUCCCUUAGGAUAGCUAUAACUUGUAUAGUUUCAUCAGGUAAAGCUAAUGAUUAGAGGCAUUGGGGGCGAAAUGCCCUCGACCUAUUCUCAAACUUUAAAUGGGUGAGAGCAUGCGGUUGUUUAAGUAAACUGCGUGAUUGAAUAAAAGUUGUUAGUGGGCCAUGUCUGGUAAGCAGAUCUGGCGAUGCGGGAUGAUCCGAA
rnacentral:rRNA from 1 species